CCUCAUCAGACACUCACUGUGACAAAGCUCUAGUUAGUUGCUGCUGCGUUUUCAAUUGGCAUUAUUAUCUGGUUCACUGGCAUACUAUUACAGUAUAGAAACACCUAUGAAACAAACUGAAGAUUAAAAGAUUAUACUGGAAGUUGCAAAUAACUUGAACAUUUGAUCGAUGGGCAACCAAGUGUUAUUGAAUUUCAUUCUGACAGAGUGAGCGAGUAACAUCAACUCAGAUCUAAGCCACAGAGGUCAAAGGAAAACAGCAAUGAUUCAUUUUGGAUUAUUUGUCCUCCACAGGAUGUGAUGUUGAAGUCCUCUGGGACAGAACACUAUAUGAAAUUCCUUGGAGUAUUCUCCCCAUAAAAGAGAGAAGUACAGACGGUGCAUCACAGAAUGUUAUAGUGGAAGCAGUCAACACAGCACAGAUAUGGUGAAAUAUUCUGUACUUCAGCUAAAAGCAGCUGAAGAGUCAUAGAAUGUAUAAACAAAUAUGUGGAGAAGCAAGGUGAGAACAUGAACAAGAUCGGAAAAUGAGUACGUAUUGAUGAGGUUAGAUGUAGAAAGAGGAGCAUGGGGAGCACUGAUAUCAGCACUGGUCUAUCUGGCUCGUCUGUCUUGUGUUGUAAAUAUUGAAUACUGUUUUGUAAUAAUGUAACUGAAUUUCCCCUUCCUUUGCCUUCAUUGCAAAAAUCAAUUUUCUGCCUCUCUCAGCAACUCACCUUGAGAUGUUGGUUCCUCAUACGUGACCCUGAUAGUAUAACCAGUACACUCACAUGCAGGAAUUAACACAGAUACCUGCUACCCACACAUGCAAUCCUCAGAAGAUGCUGCUAGAGAGGAACCCCAGCCAAUUUCCUCAUUCCCAACCAAUGGCUGCUGAGAAAAACUGCAGCACUACCACCAAUGUUGCUUGCAUGAAUAACAUUAGUUUAUUCAGGUCUUAACUUUAGCUGAGCUGUUGGACAAAGCCUCCCUAAAGUGAACCCAGAAGCAGCUUUGACACAGAUAAUAGGUUGCUCUUGUUAUUGUAAUUGAAAACAAUUACAGUGAAGCACCAAGUGUGGAGUCAAAUAACAUAAAUUGCUCUUUUGCAAUUAUAGCUAAGAACAAAUCAGCCGAAUGUCUAAAUAUAUGUGAUGGGAAGCUAGGUGAGUACUUGAGAGAGAAAGGUAAAUAGCUUAGAUGCAUGAAAAGGGCCACGUGUAGCACAAAUAGAAGCACACAUCUGUUGGUCUGUUUCUCUACUGUAAAUAUUUUGUACUGCUCUUUUUUUGAAGAAUGCAUCUCACAAUGCUCUGAACACAUCAUCAGUGAUGUAACCUGGAGUCAUUGGAUGUUUUGGGUCUUUCAACAUCACACACCCUCACCCAGGUGACCCAGCCAUGGUUGAUCAAGCCAUGACUUGUGUUCAGGUAGCAGGUGCUGCAGAUCCCCAUGGACUUGUUCUCUUUAUCCGGAGCCAUCUUGAGGCUUUCCCUGCUUCAGGGCUCCCUGCCUCCUUGUACCAGCAAUGCCCAAUGAGCCGAGAGCUCUGUGAAGAGACAGUCUAGCAAAGUUCUGGCAGCAGCUCCCCUCAACGGGCAGACACUUUGCCUUCCAUUCCUGCCUCCAACAGUUGGUAACCAGUUCCUCAUAUCUGGAAAGUUUUGAAUAACUUUCUUGUGCCAACACUGAAGGCAUCAGCCGUUUGCAUUUACAAAAAAUUAACUUGGUAUGUUGCUUCCCAAAGCCAUUCAUAAGACACUAUUUGACACCAAACUACAUGAGUGAUUAUCAAAUAUCACAACUGAUAAACAAAUACUUGGUUGAAAAGAAAUAGACUGUCAGAAAGGGGGAAAGAAAAGGAAGAGGUUGUGAGAUGUUACAGCUAAGUGAGUUAAUUCCAGAGUUUAGGACCAUGGCUCAGCUUAUGAUGUGGGAGAAAGUCAUUCAAAGUUGAUCAAGGGGAGAAACACCUAAUUGAGGUUUGUAAAGGUGGAGAUUACAUAGCCAGUGAUGAUCAGUCUAUGGAAGAUUCGAUAGGCAAAGGUAACAAAGGUGCGCUGCUUAACAAGAAGCCAGCGGAGACCACUCACAGGGAAGCUUAGUGAACAGGACGCAACAGAUUUGAAUUUACAUUCCACCAGCAGUAAAGGGGAUCGGAGCUUGAGGUUUUUGGAGUUAAUUAAUUUCCAUUAAACAGGUGAUCACUUGUUUCAACAUCUAGAUAUCUUGGUGCUUGCUGAAGGGGCUUAGUAAAACAGAGUUUUGCAGGCAGCAGUUGAAUAGAUUGCUUAGAGGUACUUCAAACUGUUCUUUUGACAACAAUAGCUGCAAGAUCUCUGAUUUCUAUACUGAGCUAUUUCUAUUCACAAUCUUAAAAUGAAAGAUUUGCCGGUUUCAUGGAUUUUGGUCUGAAUAACUGCAUAUAUGUUUCACUGUGUCUAACAUUUUAUUGAAUCAGGAAGCUGAUGAUACAAACACAUUAGGCCUCUCCUCAUUUUAAAACGAAUCUCCAGCUGCAGACAAGGGAUUCUCCCUUUCCAUGGAAAACUCUCUUGCCCUGGUACGUAUAUUGCACCUAACUGACAUGGCAAUAGAGGAAAUUUGUGGCAGAUAUGCUUAAAUGGGUGGAAUAGUUUGCAGAUGAUGAAUAAUUUGAGGCUUGAAAUGUAAAGCCAACAAAAUUCCUUCACAGGUAUUUUUCAUUCAGAAAGAUACAGAGAAUAAAGUCAAAUAAAGGAUGGUGGAGAGCUGGUUAAUUAAUAAAGAAAGGUACUAAUGAACAAAACUUAGAAAUAUCUGUAGCUUUGAACAGUAAAAGUUAGCAAGAGUAGAAGAAACUCACAAAUAAAAACUUAGGUACAAGAAAUUCCCCCAGGUUUACUGACCCUGAAUGCCAAUGAGCAUGUUGGUUUCAUUAAAGAUGGCAGCUCCUGUGUAUCUACUGUAGCUAUGGUCAUUUUUCUUCUCGCUCCAAUUCAAUAUCAUUCCAGUUCCCUUUUCAACAUUUUAAGAAUUCUGCAGCAAGGCUAAACCCUAAUGAAAGUUCUUUGAUCAGACUCUUGCUGACUCUUCCAGUAACUAAACCACAUUGAUAAAGCUCUUGUUUUGUACUCUUGAUUUUUCUGCAUUUUUCAAGCCACAAGUGUGAUUUAUGAUCAAUUAUCACAGAAUUUAACCUUACUGACACAGGACAAUAAACAGUAGUAAUCUCACACAUCUUUAAAAUAUAAAAACAAUGUAUAAAUAUUCAUUUUCUUAAAUGAUGAAACCAGCCAGAGAGACUCUAGCUUUUUAAGAUCUGCUUGUUUACAAAAUGGAUGCAUUUUUGCAAUGACAUGAACAGAGUUAUACCACACAGCAAAAUACAGGUAAGCAUAUAACAAAGAAAUCAGAGUAAACUGGGACGCCUUGCCAUUUUAAUGUGGCUUUACUUCAAUGUGAUUUUUAGCUAGGUGCUGAAUGGUUGACAGCCAUCAUUCUGACACUGCUUCUGGUCAUUAUCAUAGGGAGGAAGUAAAUUAUUUCUAGAAGAAAAAAGACUCGGAGAAUAAUCACCACUGACCAGUGUGUGCAAACCCAGUGUGUAGCAAUAGCUCAGAUGCAGACCACCCACCUGCUUUUGCCGUAGGAUUAUGUAGUCCAGAAGGCCAUUCUGUCUAUCAUACCUGGGCUGGCUCAUUGAUAUACUCCUGUACUUUCCACAUAUGCCUUCAAUUUUGUUUCCUUUUAUGUAUUCAUCCAAACACUUAAUUAACAUUCCAAAAAGAACUUGCUUUAACUAUCAUUAAUGUAUUAUUACAAUGUACUGCAAAAUAAAAUG